ACACAGGUCUAACGGUUAUGAUUGCCGCUUCCCAAGCGGCAGAAGCGGGUUCGACUCCCGUACAGUGCA